CCUGAUUUAACCCCAUAUGUUUUCUUUUGAUCCCAAAAUAUUUGCAAACGCUUUAAGAUGAAAAAUCAGAUCUGAAGGGAAACCUCGUGAUACCAGUUCCAACUAUGAUAAAUGCACUGAGUUAUUAAUUACUGCUUUGAUAGAGUACUGCCACAAACAAUUAGUUCAAUAGUCGACUAAUCACCGAUUCAUUUUUUUGAUUGGUUGACUAAUCACGUCGUGUGUAAACUAGUUGUAAAACACAUCUCAACACUCGGUAGCUUUACACUUGAGUUGUUUAAGCUACAUCCUAACUAAAAAUUAAGAAAAUUAUUACAAUAGUUCAUUAAACCUGUAAUGAAUCCAAUGAAGUCCUCUUCUCGUCUUUUGAACACAAAAAUGACUGAAGUAGUCUGCAGGAAAACAAUCGGCACAGAGAUGAACUCCACCCUCGAGGAGAAAUCAACUGCAUGGAAAAACUUUAUGGAAACUGAACCCAUGCAGUGAGAAAGCAGAGACACGCCAGGACGAAACAAUGAGGAAAAAAUAAAAAAAAAACUAUUGACUCUUUACCUAAUCCUAGAGCAGAAACCAGCUUCUGACACGCAUGCUGGCAAAGGUACAGACAGUCAAGAACAGCUGCUCAUCAGGUGCUGUAAACAGCUUUUCAAAGUAAAUAAUUAAGCCAAAGCUGACAAGGAAAGACGCUUUGCUGUUGAGCUUCACUUGUCAUCUGAAGCCGUCACUGUGCCAGAGCUCCUCUCCAUCCAAGAGUCAACAUCUGCAGAUUCAGACUUCACAAGUUAUUCAACUGACCAAUCAGAUGCCUCAAUAAAAACAUGACAGCCAGCUCUGCAUCCAGCCAUUACUGAGGCUUUCAGAGCUGCAGAAGAUUCUGAUGGAUCUCUCCAUCCCGCAGACAGAGGCGGUUCUGAUCACACAAACCCAGCAGGAUCCGUCAACUCCAGUUCUUCUCAUUCAAUGUGAUUAUAAUAAAUGCAUCGUGAGGGACAUCUGUCUGUCUUCUUGAAAAGGUUAAACCCUGGAGCUCGUGCACACCGACGUGGACAUGAUUGAUUUCCAUAGGACGGGUUCUAUUUGAAGUUCUCAUUCUGUAGAGUUAAUUAUGAUUGGGUUAACCGGGUUUGGACUUCAUCCCGUCGGUUCUUCAUCAGAACUUUUCGAACUGCCUGAGAUCCAGUAUGAGUGAGAUCAAUGAAAACCACCCAACAUCAACCCACCACAGUCUCCCACGCGAGCCACGUAGGACCGAGCGGCGCGCGCGCGGCUGCUGAGUUAGCAUGUCAGGACCGAACCAGAGCCGUGCGCGUGCACUCCUGCCACCGGAAACGCCGGGAGUUUGGAGCUCCCCGGUAAUACCGGAGCGGCGUGCACGCACCGGAUGAACUGUGGCGGCGUUAAUAUGCGAUUUCCAGCGCGCGUGCUGCAGUACUCGGACACGCACGCGCGUUGUCCUGCUGUCAUGCAUCUGAUUGAGCAGGAGGCGAAGCGCACUAGUGUGGGUCCGCGCUCGUUCACGCAGAGAACAGAACCGGGCCUGGUUCGGGAGCCUGUCAGAGGCCUGCCCGUCAGAAGUACCCGCAGCGGCAGCGACGCACCUU